rnacentral:pre_miRNA from 1 species
GUAAUACUCCUUUCAUUCGGAAAUACUUGUCAUUGAAAUCAAUGUAUCUAGAUGUAUUUUAGCUGUAGAUAAAUUCAUUUUUAAUCAUUUGUUCGACAAGUAAUACCGAACAGAGGGAGUACAUC